rnacentral:rRNA from 1 species
GACGAACGCUGGCGGCGUGCUUAACACAUGCAAGUCGAACGGAAAGGCCCUGCUUGUGUGGGGUGCUCGAGUGGCGAACGGGUGAGUAACACGUGAGUAACCUGCCCUUGACUUUGGUAUAACUUCAGGAAACUGGGGCUAAUACCGGAUAGGAGCUCCUGCUGCAUUGUGGGGGGUGGAAAGUUUCGGCGGUUGGGGAUGGACUCGCGGCUUAUCAGCUUGUUGGUUGGGGAGUGGCUUACCAAGGCUUUGACGGGUAGCCGGCCUGAGAGGGUGACCGGCCACCUUGGGACUGAGAUACGGCCCAGACUCCUACGGGAGGCAGCAGUGGGGAAUAUUGCACAAUGGGCGGAAGCCUGAUGCAGCAACGCCGCGUGCGGGAUGACGGCCUUCGGGUUGUAAACCGCUUUCGCCUGUGACGCAGCGUGGGUGACGGUAAUGGGUAAAGAAGCACCGGCUAACUACGUG